rnacentral:rRNA from 1 species
UGCAGUCGAGCGAGGCCAUCUUCGGGUGGUGCCCUAGCGGCGAACGGGUGAGUAACACGUGGGCAACCUGCCCUCAGCUCUGGGAUAACUCCAAGAAAUUGGUGCUAAUACCGGAUGUGACCGCUGACCGCAUGGUCUGGUGGUGGAAAGAUUCAUCGGCUGAGGAUGGGCCCGCGGCCUAUCAGCUUGUUGGUGGGGUAAUGGCCCACCAAGGCGACGACGGGUAGCCGGCCUGAGAGGGUGACCGGCCACACUGGGACUGAGACACGGCCCAGACUCCUACGGGAGGCAGCAGUGGGGAAUAUUGCGCAAUGGGCGAAAGCCUGACGCAGCGACGCCGCGUGAGGGAUGACGGCCUUCGGGUUGUAAACCUCUUUCAGUAGGGACGAAGCGCAAGUGACGGUACCUACAGAAGAAGCACCGGCCAACUACGUGCCAGCAGCCGCGGUAAUACGUAGGGUGCAAGCGUUGUCCGGAAUUAUUGGGCGUAAAGAGCUCGUAGGCGGUCUGUCGCGUCGGCUGUGAAAACCCGAGGCUCAACCUCGGGCCUGCAG